GUGCCAGCAGCCGCGGUAAUACAGAGGUCCCGAGCGUUGUUCGGAUUCACUGGGCGUAAAGGGUGCGUAGGUGGCGGUGGAAGUUUGAUGUGAAAGCUCAGGGCUUAACCCUGAAAUGGCAUUGAAUACUCCAUGGCUGGAGGUUUGGAGGGGGGACUGGAAUUCUUGGUGUAGCAGUGAAAUGCGUAGAUAUCAAGAGGAACACCAGUGGCGAAGGCGAGUCCCUGGACAACACCUGACACUGAGGCACGAAAGCUAGGGGAGCAAACAGGAUUAGAUACCCCCGUAGUCC
rnacentral:rRNA from 1 species